AGACGGGUGAGUAACGCGUGAGUAACCUGCCUUAGAGUUGGGAUAGCCUUGAGAAAUCAAGGGUAAUACCCGAUAAAGCCUUUGAGCACAAUGCUCAUUGGUUAAAGGUGGCCUCUUCUUGAAAGCUAUCGCUUUAUGAGGGGCUCGCGUCCCAUUAGCUUGUUGGUGAGAUAAAAGCUCACCAAGGCGAUGAUGGGUAGCCGGCUUGAGAGGGUGACCGGCCACGCUGGUACUGAGACACGGGCCAGGCUCCUACGGGAGGCAGCAGGCUAGAAAUUUGUACAAUGGACGAAAGUCUGAUACAGCGACACCACAUGGGGGAUAUGAAGGCCUUCGGGUCGUAAACCCCUGUCAAAAAGGAAGAAGGUCUGAAAGAUUAAUAGUCCUUCAGAUUGACGGUACUUUUGAUAGGAAGCCACGGCUAAUUCCGUGCCAGCAGCCGCGGUAAAACGGAAGUGGCAAGCGUUGUCCGGAAUCACUGGGCGUAAAGGGGGCGUAGGCGGAUAAUUAAGUUGGGUGUGAAAACUAUUUGCUCAACGGAUAGCCGGCAUCCAAAACUAAUUAUCUUGAGUCCGACAGA
rnacentral:rRNA from 1 species